rnacentral:snRNA from 1 species
GAGCUGACUUCAAUGGCACGUAUAAAAAAUGAGAACAAUACAAAGAAGAUUAGCAUGGGUCCUGCACAAGGAUCAUGGGCACAUUUGUAAAGCAUUUCAUAUUUUU